AGAGGGAAGGCUGUACUUAGCAGGUCUCUGGAAGUUGCGGGAUGGGCUGUGAAGCGGUCAUGCCUUGCCCAGCCUUCAGUCCCUAGUCUCUGGGCCCCCGCCCUCCAGCCGCCUUUGAGUCGUGCCUGGAUCCUCACCCAUGCCUCAGAACCGUGAAGAAAGGAAGCUCGCGUGUUUGCUAGAAAACCUAGUUGGGAGUGCGAGGCAGAGAACGUUCAGCACCCUUGUUCCUCCCGAACCUCCGGGACAGAGGCAGGGCUCUGAGGGCAGGGAUUCCCCUUCGUCUUGGCCCCACAGCCCGGGCUGGGCACUAAACUCGGGCCGCGGCGGGGCGAGCGAGGCGAGCUUCGGAGGAAGCUGAUGCCUGAUGAUGGCUCAGUCCAACAUGCUCCCCGUGGCUGAUGUGUUGAGUCAAGAUGAACUGCGCAAAAAGCUAUACCAGACGUUUAAGGAUCGGGGUAUACUGGACACACUCAAGACACAACUUCGAAACCAGCUAAUUCAUGAGUUGAUGCACCCUGUAUUGAGUGGAGAACUGCAACCUCGGUCCAUUUCAGUAGAAGGGAGCUCCCUCUUAAUAGGCGCCUCUAACUCUUUAGUGGCAGAUCACUUACAAAGAUGUGGCUAUGAAUAUUCACUUUCUGUUUUCUUUCCAGAAAGUGGUUUGGCAAAAGAAAAGGUAUUUACUAUGCAGGAUCUAUUACAACUCAUUAAAAUCAACCCUACUUCCAGUCUCUACAAAUCACUGGUUUCAGGAUCUGAUAAAGAAAAUCAAAAAGGUUUUCUUAUGCAUUUUUUAAAAGAAUUGGCAGAAUAUCAUCAAGCUAAAGAAAGUUGUAAUAUGGAAACUCAGACAAGUUCGACACUUAGCAGAGAUUCUCUGGCUGAGAAGCUUCAGCUUAUUGAUGAUCAGUUUGCAGAUGCUUACCCUCAGCGUAUCAAGUUCGAAUCUUUAGAAAUAAAGCUAAAUGAAUAUAAGAGAGAAAUAGAAGAGCAACUUCGGGCAGAAAUGUGUCAAAAGUUGAAGUUUUUUAAAGAUACCGAGAUAGCAAAAAUUAAAAUGGAAGCGAAAAAAAAGUAUGAGAAGGAAUUAGCCAUGUUCCAGAUUGAUUUUGAGAAAGCCUGUCAAGCAAAAUCUGAAGCCCUCGUUCUUCGGGAAAAGAGUACCCUUGAAAGAAUUCAAAAGCACCAAGAGAUUGAAACAAAAGAAAUUUAUGCUCAAAGGCAGCUUUUACUAAAAGAUAUGGAUUUGCUAAGAGGAAGAGAAGCAGAGCUGAAGCAAAGAGUUGAAGCUUUUGAAUUGAACCAGAAGCUCCAGGAAGAAAAACAUAAAAGCAUAACUGAGACACUUAGGAGACGGGAGCAGAAUAUAAAGAAUUUUGAGGAGACCUAUGACCGAAAGCUCAAGAAUGAACUUCUAAAGUAUCAACUUGAACUGAAGGAUGACUACAUCAUUAGAACUAAUCGACUGAUUGAAGAUGAAAGGAAGAAUAAAGAAAAAGCUGUUCAUUUGCAAGAGGAGCUCACAGCUAUUAAUUCAAAAAAGGAGGAACUCAAUCAAUCUGUAAAUCGUGUGAAAGAACUUGAGCUUGAAUUAGAGUCUGUCAAAGCACAGUCUUUGGCAAUAACGAAACAAAACCAUAUGCUGAAUGAAAAGGUUAAAGAGAUGAGUGAUUAUUCACUACUAAAAGAAGAGAAACUGGAGCUUCUGGCACAAAAUAAAUUACUUAAACAACAACUGGAAGAGAGUAGAAAUGAAAACUUGCGUCUCCUAAACCGCCUAGCUCAGCCGGCUCCUGAACUUGCAGUCUUUCAGAAAGAACUACGGAAAGCUGAAAAGGCUAUAGUGGUUGAGCAUGAGGAGUUCGAAAGCCGCAGGCAAGCUCUGCAUAAACAACUGCAAGAUGAAAUUGAGCAUUCUGCACAGCUGAAGGCCCAGAUUCUGGGUUACAAAGCUUCUGUAAAGAGGUUAACUACUCAGGUUGCCGAUUUAAAAUUGCAACUGAAACAAACUCAGACAGCCCUAGAGAAUGAAGUGUACUGCAAUCCAAAGCAGUCUGUGAUCGAUCGUUCUGUCAAUGGAUUAAUAAAUGGCAACAUGGUGCCUUGCAAUGAUGAGAUAAGUGGGGAUUUCUUGAACAGUCCUUUUAAACAUGAAAAAGUUCUAGCACGUAUGGUUGCAUCAAGGAUCACAAAUUAUCCAAAUGCAUGGGUGGAGGGUAGUUCCCCUGAUUCUGACCUUGAGUUUGUAGCCAAUACUAAGGCAAGGGUCAAAGAGCUUCAGCAAGAGGCUGAACGCUUGGAAAAGGCUUUCAGAAGUUACCAUCGGAGAGUCAUUAAAAACUCUGCCAAAAGCCCACUAGCAGCAAAGAGCCCACCAUCUCUGCACUUGCUGGAAGCCUUCAAAAACCUUACUUCGAGUUCCCCGGAAAGACAUAUCUUUGGAGAGGACAGAGUUGUCUCUGAGCAGCCUCAAGUGGGCACACUUAAAGAAGAAAGGAAUGACGUCUUGGAAGCACUGACAGGCAGUGCAGCCUCGAGGCUCCACGGGGGCACUUCCUCCAGACGCCUCUCUUCCACACCCCUUCCAAAAGCAAAAAGAAGCCUCGAAAGUGAAAUGUAUCUAGAAGGUCUGAGCAGAUCACACGUUGUUUCCCCCAGUCCUUGUCCUGACAGAAUGCCCCUACCAUCACCCACUGAGUCUAGGCACAGCCUCUCCAUCCCUCCCGUCUCCAGCCCUACGGAGCAGAAAGUGGGUCUUUAUCGAAGACAAACUGAACUUCAAGACAAAAGUGAAUUUUCAGAUGUGGACAAGCUAGCUUUUAAGGAUAAUGAGGAAUUUGAAUCAUCUUUUGAAUCUGCAGGGAAUGGGCCAAGGCAGUUGGAAAUGGAUGGGCUCUCUCCUGCCGGGGAUAUGCCGCAUGUGGAUGCUGCUGCAGCUGCUGUGCCCCUCUCAUAUCAGCACCCAAAGGAUGAUUGAAGAAUCACUGAAGAUUGAAAUGGAAAAUGAAUUAGAAAUGGAAAAUGAAUUAGAAAUGAGUAAUCAAGAAAUGAAAGACAAAUCUGCUCACAGUGAAAAUCCUUUAGAGAAAUACAUGAAAAUCAUCCAGCAGGAGCAAGACCAGCAGUCAGCAGAUAAGAGCUCAAAAAAGAUGGUCCAAGAAGGCUCCCUAGUGGACACGCUGCAAUCUAGUGACAAAGUUGAAAGUUUAACAGGCUUUUCUCAUGAAGAACCAGAUGACUCUUGGUAACCAUGUUUGCUGCCCAGCUUCUAACUUACAUACCAUGAGAAGUUACAUAACAUUUACUCCUUUGUAAAUGUUUCUCUAUCAUCAGACAAAACUCAAUAAAAAUGUGUGUAAUCCAGUGUGGUUUUUUUUUCCAUAAUUUUGAUACCACAGUGUGUGAACCAAGAAUAAUCUAGUCACGUGAAACCUCUUCUCCAGUCAUAGUAUUUCUCAUUCAUUAUAAUAAAAGGAACUGGCUUUUAACCUCAUUUUUACCUUAAAUUUUUAAAUGAGUAUAUCUUAUUGGUCAAUCUAUCUUAUUGGUCAACUCCAGGCCUACAUUUUGGAAGUUUAAGCUGUGUUCUUUUCUCUCCAAAGUUGGGCUGCUACCUGUAAAACAGGUUAUUUUUCUCAGCAUACUCCUGUUUUGUCCCUGAACAUAAAAACAGAUUUUUGUAGGCAUUAGAAAUAGUAAGAUAUUGCCUCUGGUCUUUACUUUUGACAUCUGUGGUUUGAAUGUAUGUGUCCCUCCAAAAUUCAUAUGUUGGAAUUUAAACCCCCCCAGUGUGAUAGAAUUAAGAGGUGGCACCUUUCACAGGUGACUAAGAGUGGGAUUAGUGACCUUAUAAAAGGGCUCAGUGGAACUAGUGAGGCCCUUUUGCCCUUCCACCAUUUGAAGACACUGCAUUGGUCCCCUCUGGAGAAUACAACAACAAGGCACCAUCUUGGAAGCAGAGACCGGGCCUUCACCAGACAUCCAACCUGCCAGUGCCUUGAUCUUGGACUUCCCAGCCUCAAACGGUAAGAAACACAUUUCUGGUCUUUAUAAGUUACCCAGUCUAAGUUAUUUUGUUAUAGUGGCAGGAACAGACUGAGAUAGCAUCUUUAUUAUGGAAUCUUUGGUCCUCAUACUUAAUGAAUGGGCUUCAAGUAUUUUGUUUGUUUUUAAAUGAAUAGGCUCCUUCCCUAUAAUUGACUUCAUUUUCAUCUCUUAAAGGUCAAGUUUUACAAGUCAGAACUGGAAAAAAAUCUCUACUCAACCCUCUAAAGGGUCCUAGGUUUUGUGGCAGGAUCACUGUGGAUAAUUAAGAGGCUGCUUGUGGUUUUAUCUAACCAUUAUUUUACAGUUUCCUCUGGUGACUCAUGUGACUUAAAUAAUUGCACAAAAUGCCACUUAAACAGAAGAUACUAAGUAGUGUGACAAAUAGCACACGAAUUGAGCUCCUGAUUGUUCUCCUGCCAUACGUGAACAAAGGGUGAUGAUCUAGAGUCAGCACCUCAUUUAGGAAUGGCCAUGUGUCAACAGUGACACAGGCGGGCCUCACUAAGAAAGGUCAGAUGCACAGAAUCCAAAUGCAUAAUCAUGUUGACAGAUAAGAGUUUAAACAGAUUAUAAAAUAAAAUCCUAAGUAACGUAUUUAGCUCUGCUACUCUAGAGAGUCAACCGUUAGAACUAGGUUUUUUUAUAUUCCAGAAUAAAUCUUUCAAUAGACUUUUGUACCUUUGGUUUGAAAAAUAACUACACACAUGCUCUUGUUUCUACUUUGCCCAAGUUUAAGCCUCGUUGAUCCUAUAGGUAGAUGGCAUUUAUUUGUUGAAAAACUACUCAGAAAAAUUCUUACUUUACACAGAGAACUACAGAAGUGCUAGUGGCACUUUUAUGCCCAAUACAGCCCAGUGGAUUAUAUAAUAUUUUCUUAAAUUGCUGAAAAGAUUUUUGCCAGAAAUAAACCAAGUAGCACUCAUAGACUUGAUUUCCAUACCAAUGUGAAAUCUUGACUAUGCACAUUAUUCAAAAGUGACACCAUACUGAGGACAAAGAUAGGAUUUAUGUAUGGUAAAAAGGCAAGUGAAUGAAGCUAUAAUUUUAUUUCAUUACUCUUAGUACAUCCACAACUAUUUCCACCUAAAUAGAUAUUCAAAAUAAGCAUACACAAGUAUCGACUAUUAUCUACAAAUAUUUAUUGUAACACUUGAAUAGAACUACAGGAAGCCCUUGGCACUGAUAGAAAAUAUUGAUUCACUGUUAGGUUACAAAAAUUUAUACAUAGCAAAAUUUAAUGCUCUUUACAUAAAAAAUAUUAGACUACUUAAACAAAACUUCCAAAAAUUCCUGGUAAUAGCUACCAGAAUUAGAAAAGUAAAAUUAGGCUUUAGACACUGCCUCUUCUAGAACACUGGACUCUGACAGCACCUCCACUGCUGGAAAUAAUAGUUAAAUCUGUCAUGCAACAGGAAAACAAAACACUAAGCUAUUUUGGAACAACUGUUCUACAUAGAAGAGAGCUUCUCUUAAUUAAAAAAAAAAAAAUCCCAAAUAGGCAUUUUUAGGCAUUAACCAAAAAAAGAAUCCAAAUGAAAUAUUAUACUUGAUGUUCAAUUUUAAUAGCAUCUUAAUAAAGGUAUGCUUCCUUUCAUUUGAAUACAUUUCUGCACAUGUAUAUGUUAUAAAAUCCAGGAAACAGCCAAACCACAAGUUAACUCUUAACAAUGAAUAUACAUAGUUAACCCUAUAGUAAGCAGCCCCUUUGAAAAGCACUGAUGCACCCAACAGUUAAUAUGAAUCAUUUCAUAAAGAACAACACAAAGUUUACCAUCACUAAUACCCAGUACCUACAGUCACUUAAUGUUCUGGAACACAAUAAUGCAGAAGGCAAGUUUCUUUUGAAAAUGGCUUAAACUCAAGCAGUUUUCUUGCUGAACAUCAAACUUUAUUAUUCCAGGAAACUAAGA